rfam:Neurospora crassa OR74A unplaced genomic scaffold supercont12.8, whole genome shotgun sequence.
UACUUAGUUAAUUCUAUUAGUAAUUAUAUACUUAUUUCAAAGAUUAAGCUAUAUAUAUUUAAAUUUAAGCAAUUAAACUACGAAAUUGCAAAUAGUUUAUUAAAUUAGUUAUAAUUUAUUUAAUAAUACCUUACUAUAUAAAUAACCGUAGUAAUUUUAGAGCUAAUAUAUACUAAAAACCCCAACUUCGGAAGGGGUAUAUUUAUUAGAUUAAAAACUAAUACCCUUCGGGGCUAACUAGUAAUUUAUAAUAACUUUUCGAAUCGUAUAGUUUUGUACUAGUAAUAGUUUAUUUAAAUUUCUACCUUAUUAAUUUUCAACGGUUAGGUUUUAGCUAACUAUAGUAAUAACGGGUAACGGAGGGUUAGAGCUCAACCCCGGAGAAGGAGUUUAAAAAACGGCUACUAUAUCUAAGGAAGGUAGUAGGCGCGUAAAUUACCUAAUUCCGAUACGGGGAGGUAGUAAUAAUAAAUAUUAAUAUAGGGCUUUUUUAGGUCUUAUAAUUGGAAUGAAUAUAAUUUAAAUCCCUUAACGAAGAAUAAUUGGAAGGCAAGUUUAGUACUAGUAGCCGCAGUAAUUCUAAUUCCAAUAGCGUAUAUUAAAGUUAUUAAGGUUAAAAAGCUCGUAGUUGAACCUUGGGUUCGGUCCGUCAGUCCGCCUUACUAUAUAUAUUAAUUAGGUCGGGCCUUUUUUCCUAGAGAACCGUAUACCCUUUACUAGGUAUAUUGGGGAACUAGGACUUUUACUAUAAAUAAAUCAGAUCGCUUAAAGAAGGUCUAUACUCGAAUAUACUAAUAUAAAAUAAUAAAAUAGGAUAUAUAAUUCUAUUUUAUUAGUUUCUAGGACCGCUAUAAUAAUUAAUAAGGACAAUCAGGAGUAUUAAUAUUUAAUUAUUAGAAGUGAAAUUCUUGGAUUUAUUAAAGAUUAACUAUUACAAAAGUAUUUACUAAGGAUGUUUUUAUUAAUUAGGAACGAAAGUUAGGGGAUUAAAGACAAUUAAAUACCGUCGUAGUUUUAACUAUAAAUUAUACCAAUUAGGGAUUGGACGGUAUUAUUUUUUAAUCCGUUCGGUACCUUACAAUAAAUUAAAAUAUUUGGACUCUUAGAGGAAUAUAGUUGCAAGGCUGAAAUUUAAAGAAAUUAAUGGAAGGGUACUACUAGGGGUAGAGCCUACAGUUUAAUUUAACUCAAUACGGGGAAACUCACCAGGUCUAGAUACAAUGAGGAUUGAUAAAUUGAGAGCUCUUUUUUAAUUUUGUAGGUAAUAGUAUAUAGCCGUUCUUAGUUAGUAGAGUGAUUUAUCUACUUAAUUAUAAUAAUAAAUAAGACUUUAAUUUACUAAAUAGCCUAUAUUACUUUAGUAGUACGCUAGCUUUUUAGAAGGAUUAUUGGUUUAAGCCGAUGGAAAUUUAAGGUAAUAAUAGGUCUAUAAUGCCCUUAAAUAUUCUAGGCCGUACGCGCGCUAUAUUAAUAUAAUUAGCGAGUACUCUCUUAGCCGGAAGGUCCGGGUAAUUUUAUUAAAUUGUAUUGUACUAGGGAUAAAGUAUUGUAAUUAUUACUCUUUAACGAAGAAUCCCUAAUAAGCGUAAAUUAUUAAUUUAUAUUAAUUACAUCCCUACCCUUUAUAUAUACCGCCCGUCGCUACUACUAAUUGAAUAGCUUAGUAAGGCUUCCAGAUUAGCCUAGGGAGGUCGGUAACGACUACCUAAGGCCGGAAAGCUAUCCAAAUUCGGUUAUUUAAAGGAAGUAAAAGUUGUAAUAAGGUUUCUAUUAGUAAAUUAGCGGAGGGAUUAUUA